rnacentral:rRNA from 1 species
AUGGCUUCCAAGGUCGACGUCGCCGAUCGCUUCGACGUCUCCGGGCUGACGCACAUCAAACACAUUAACGUGCGCAUCAGGGGCGUGCUCUCGCGCAACAGAAGCUCAGCACGCAACGCCCCCGACUCCACGCAACGCCCCCAACUCCAUGUCCCGUCAAAAAAGUCCCCCAACUACAUGUCGGCCACCCCAAAUCCCGGCGGCGGCGGCCGCCGCCGGAAGUGGACGAGCGCCACACGGGCGCGCUGGGGCUCUACCUGCACCCGGACUGCCGGACAUCGACCUCAAGAAGCUGUGUUGGCUCAUCCUCAAGGCCAAGCUCGUGCCAUGCCUCUCAAUGGAUCGAUAGAUAGAGCGUCGCGGGUGGAGAGGCGGCCGGCCGGAAGAAGCCGGGCGCCUGAUUCCCCGCGGUUCGUGCUGUUCCUCUCCUCCAUGCCCCCUCUGCAACCUCUCCUCACCAUUCAUGGCCAUCGGAAGGACCGCAGGAGGCAGAGCAGGGCGGCUCGAGCCUGCGAUGAGCUUCUCGACUGGAGCUCGCCGUCGGUGGCGAGUGCGGGUGGCCAGCUCGCGCCGUCUCAACACUCUGCCUCUCCCUCACAUACGACUCGCGUCGUCGCUGCGUUCCCCAUUCUUUUCCCGUGCUUUUCGAUUGGCCCGGCGGUGAGCUGCAGUGCCGCUAGCUCAUCGGCGACGGCUACGACGCCAUCUGUGCCGUCCCUUGGUCCCUUCCCCCCGGCAGCAACCUUCUUGACGAUGAGAGGGCAGCAAAAUGUGAUCAAUCAAUGGAGACAAAGUAUUUGUCCAAUUGUUUGCAAGGGUGCAAUUCUCUCAACACAUGCUCCACAGCACGACGACGGCGAGCAUCCGGAGAAAUCAUCUGCAUACAUCCUAAAGAUUGGUGAUGGAGAUGCUACCCAGUGCAUGAGUGGAUUCAUAGCCAUGGACAUUCCUACUCCCUAUGGACCUAUCCGGAUCCUGGGCGAUAUAUUCAUGGGAGCCUACCAUGCCGUAUUCGACUAUGGCAACAUGAAGGUUGGGUUCGCGAAGGCGGCAUAG